rnacentral:tRNA from 2 species
GGGGGAAUAGCUCAGCUGGUAGAGCAGCGGACUCUUAAUCCGUUUGUCCGGGGUUCGAUCCCCCGUUCCCCCACCA